AUGGCGGGCUGGGCGUCCGGGACCUGGAGCGCACCAGGCUCUCGCUCUGGUUGCGCUGGCUAUGGCUUGCGCGCACGGACACGGACAGAGCAUGGUAGGGGCUGGACCUACAAUUUACUUCGGAGGAGCGCGCUCUUUUACGCCUCCACGACCAUGGCCCUCGGUGAUGGAAGGACCGCACUUUUUUGGGAGGAUCGCUGGCUUGGCGGUCAGGGCGUCCGCGAGCUCGCGCCCAUGCUCUUUCAGUGCAUCCCCAAGCAGCGCCGGAAGACGAGAACGGUGGCGGAGGCCAUGACCAACAAUCGCUGGGCACGUGACAUCCAAGGUCUGUUCGGCCUUCCUGAGAUCGGUCAGUACCUGAAGCUUUGGCACUUGGUGCAGUAUGUCGAGCUGUCCAACGAGCCGGACAAGCUGCUUUGGAGCUGGACCACCAAUGGCACAUACACGGCCCAGUCAUGCUACCGGGCAACAUUCCAGGGAGCGAUGGACUGCCACUCCUGGAAGCUCAUUUGGAGGACCUGGGCACCACCUAGAGUGAAGUUUUUCAUUGGCUGGCUUGCCAAGAUCGCUGCUGGACCGUCGAGCGGCUCGUGCGCCGCGGCCUGCAGCACCACCCGCGGUGCCUGCUGUGUGACCAGGAACCGGAGACGAUCAGGCACUUGGUGCUCACAUGUCCAUUCACCAGGCAGACAUGGCACGAGGUCCUAUCUUGGCUGCGCUUGCCGGCGCCGAUGCCCGAGCACGACGAUUCGCUUAUGGACUAGUGGCUGCGCGCGAAGGAGUUCACACCGCCCACUCUACGCAAGACGCUGA
rnacentral:rRNA from 1 species